rnacentral:rRNA from 1 species
UACGUAGGGUGCGAGCGUUGUCCGGAAUUACUGGGCGUAAAGAGCUCGUAGGUGGCUUGUCGCGUUGUUCGUGAAAACUCACAGCUUAACUGUGGGCGUGCGGGCGAUACGGGCAGACUGGAGUACUGCAGGGGAGACUGGAAUUCCUGGUGUAGCGGUGGAAUGCGCAGAUAUCAGGAGGAACACCGGUGGCGAAGGCGGGUCUCUGGGCAGUAACUGACGCUGAGGAGCGAAAGCGUGGGGAGCGAACAGG